UAACGCGUGAGCAAUCUGCCUUUAAGAGGGGGAUAACAGUCGGAAACGGCUGCUAAUACCGCAUAAAGCAUCAAAUUCGCAUGUUUUUGAUGCCAAAGGAGCAAUCCGCUUUUAGAUGAGCUCGCGUCUGAUUAGCUGGUUGGCGGGGUAACGGCCCACCAAGGCGACGAUCAGUAGCCGGACUGAGAGGUUGAACGGCCACAUUGGGACUGAGACACGGCCCAG
rnacentral:rRNA from 1 species